ensembl:lncRNA novel transcript
GUAGGCUACAGUGCUCACUUGCCUGGUCAAAUAAGAGCAAAACCAACUUGCUUGGUCUUCAUUGCCGUGAAGAUAAAUUAGGUGGGAUUAGCAUUUAAGUCAGUAGACUUUGAGUAAAACAUCUCAUCCUCCAUAAUAUGAGCGAGGCUCAUCCAACAGUUGAAGACCUUAAGAGAAAAGACUGAGGUCCCCGAAGAAGAAGAAAUUCUGCCUGCAGACUGAUUUCAGAUGCAGUAGUACAACAUCAAUCCUUCCUUGGGUUUCCAGCCUGCUGGUCUGCCCUGCAGAUUUCAGACUUGCCUGCUCCCACAGUCAUAAUUGUGUGUUAUGAUUGGAAAUAUGAAUUGACUUUGGAAGAGAGAAGUAAAAAGGCUGCCCUUCCAUGGCAUCCAUCAGCAUUGGUUUUGGACCUUUACCUAGCUUCCAACUGCCUUCUUCCACCAACAUUACUGUGUGCUGCUGAAUGCGUCCAUUUCAGGCAAUGCCCAAUUUGGAGAAAAGAAGAAGUGCAAAAAAAGAUGUUUCUUUGACCUCACCGCAAAUACGUAAAACCACCUGCAGAUCCACAGCCACUCUAAUCUUUGCCUUGGGCACACCCUUUUGCUUUAACAGUAGAGAAGAAACAAGUUUCUGUUCCCUCCGAGUGCUGGGAAGUGGCAUGACAGCUGGUUUCCAUGAGCAGAGCACAUACUCCAACCCUGCAAAGAAAAAACUCCCCACAAUGCUCUUUUAUCUAUUAAACUAAAGGGGGUUUUAUUACACUUUUGUACAUUCAAUACAUUUAUCUAAAUUUUUCUCGCAUUGAAUUAUUGUCAAGAAAAGGCUGUUCUUGCAUAUAUAUAUGUGUGUGUAUAUAUAUAUGUACUUGUGAUCAUGCAUAACUUAAAUGCUAAAUUUCUGAUUUUUUUGGAGAGGAUAACAUUUAGAAAAAAAUCUAUUGACUAAACAAAAAUCAUUUGACACAUGAGGUCAAACCUUAAUUUAGCUGUAGGAAUCAUUGUCGUAUCAAUGUGGAAGUAGAAAUAGCACUAAAAGAAUGUUCUUUUUCUCCUGAAAGAUGCACCCUCUGACCCACUUUGUGACACAUAGUGAGGAGUUCAGUAACUAUAAAUGUUACCGAUGACUCUUAUCCUUGGUUUAACUCUGGGUUCUUCUAAAUGCUUAUGUAGAGUACAAAUUAUCUGCUGAAGAGUAGCCAAGGUUGCCAAGUGAACAGCACUGAAGACGUCAGAAGGGAGUGAAGUUUGGAAGUGAAACAGCAGCCUUUAAAUAGCCCGACAACACACAUCAUGAGAUGACUUCAGUGGAUCUCCCAUCACUACGGAUUGGCUGUAAAGGAAAAAUCCUCUUAAGUGUUUAAUCCAGAAGAUAACUUUUUAUUCAAUUACUACCAGUAUAAUUACUAUACUAUUGUUCAAGAUUUUAUUCGUUCUUCCUUUUUUUGUCCACUUUGUCUUUUCUUCCUCUAGAAAUUCAGAACCUGAAUGAUUUCUCAUUUGAGUCAAUUUUGAUCACUGCAA